UGGGGAAUAUUGCACAAAUGGGCGCAAGCCUGAUGCAGCCAUGCCGCGUGUGUGAAGAAGGCCUUCGGGUUGUAAAGCACUUUCAGCGAGGAGGAAGGUGGUGAGCUUAAUACGCUCAUCAAUUGACGUUACUCGCAGAAGAAGCACCGGCUAACUCCGUGCCAGCAGCCGCGGUAAUACGGAGGGUGCAAGCGUUAAUCGGAAUUACUGGGCGUAAAGCGCACGCAGGCGGUUUGUUAAGUCAGAUGUAAAUCCCCGGGCUCAACCUGGGAACUGCAUUUGAAACUGGCAAGCUAGAGUCUCGUAGAGGGGGGUAGAAUUCCAGGUGUAGCGGUGAAAUGCGUAGAGAUCUGGAGGAAUACCGGUGGCGAAGGCGGCCCCCUGGACGAAGACUGACGCUCAGGUGCGAAAGCGUGGGG
rnacentral:rRNA from 1 species